UGUUUUCCGUGACGGGAUCAGAGGGGUGUACUGGAACACCCUUCGCGAGAAAUUGACACUUCCGUUUGCACGAUGCUAUCGACGUAACUUCCGCUCCCACAUUCUUUUCUCCGAACGUCGGCGUUGCGUAUGGUUGUUAUCGGCGGAUACGAAGGCAGCGGCGGCGGCGUUGACGUUAAGUGAGUGUCUAGUUUGUAUGACUUGAUGCAACACGCCCUUUCGAACGAACUGAUGCGUACGUGAAUGGGUCUGGUUCGCUUUUUGGCCCCGGCCUGCUCAUUCGUUGACGCAGACAAUAUGCGGGAUGCUUGUCAUUCUGACGACGCAUUUCGAAACGAUGAACGCUAGCUGUGAAGCGCACGAAACAGCAAGACAAAAGCCUGGCACGUAGUUAUAUCUGCACCUUGAAGAAGCUGUGCGUCGACGUGCAUCGUAUGCCGUGCUCUAUGGAAAUACAUCCAGCCCUUAUUCGUUUGAGAUGGGUGCUGGUCUACGGAAUGCCGAAAGAGAGCUCGAAGCAGGCGGCAUAAAUAUGGAUGUAUACAUGGAAUGGACUGCAAUGCGACACUGCCAAUGAAGAAUGCGUACUAGAACAUAGCCUGCUCUUAACCAGACGUCGGACUCCGCAAACAAAACCAGACUUCAUCUGCCUCAGCCAAUGUCCAGUGUGUUUUCAGGAAUAGUGGGUAGCAACAUCGAAAGACAAAGUGCAGCAAAACACAGGGAAUGUUUCAACAAACAGCACUUAACAUUUG